rnacentral:lncRNA from 1 species
ACUAUUGACAUAAUUUCACCAAAUAUUAAGUUGUAUCUUGGGUGCGCACAUACUUUUCCAAUCUCAAAUAUACUUAAAAUUUGAUGAACAAGAAUGUGUCCCCAGUACACGGAUGCCCCAUCCGCACUAUCAUUUUCUAUGUUCAGUGGACCGUGAAAAUGGGGUUAAAUCUCUAAUUUGGAAUUAAAAUUAGAAAUCAUAUCAUACAAGAACAUAUGUACUAAGUUUCAAGUUGAUUAGACUUCAACUUCAUCAAAAACUACCUCGACCAAAACUUAAACCCUGAAGCGGGACAGACGGACGAACGAACAGACGGACGGACGAACGAACGAACGGACGCACAGACUAGAAAACAUAAUGCCCAUAAAUGGGGCAUAAAAACAAGGUAAAUGAAGAAAUUUUACAAAAUAUGCAAAUUUUGUCAUGGUUUGUUGCCACGGUAGCUUGUUCAAUGUGUAAUUUGUUUUUAUUUUCUGAGUACCUUAGUCUGAUUUGGACAAAUUUAAGAAUAUGCAUGAAAACUUAAAUUUGCAGUUAUAUUUUGGCCAAAUAAAGUCCCUUUUGCCCCUACUCCUUUGUCAAAUUUACUCUGGUUCAACAUAAGCUCUUCCCUAUACAUAUUUUCCUUAGGAGUUAUGAUUAGGGCACUGUUACUAAAGUUUUCAAACUAAAUCCCACAAUUUUGAUAUUUUCAUCUUUGUCAAAGGGAAAUAACUGGAAAGACAAAAAGAGAAAUUUGUCAAAAUUGAACUUGAUCUGUGUUUAAUGUUUCUUGACAAUAUUCAUAAAUUUUAAAAGAAUUUGAUUGAUUCUUUCUAAAAUUAUCCAAAGAAAAACAAAUAUUUAGCU